CUCAAACUGUAGCUCCUCUUAACCACUAUCUGUCCCAAAACUUAAACUGUAGCUCCUCUUAACCACUAUCUGUCCCAAAACUUAAACUGUAGCUCCUCUUAACCACUAUCUGUCCCAAAACUUAAACUGUAGCUCCUCUUAAACACUAUCUGUCCCAAAACUCAAACUGUAGCUCCUCUUAAACACUAUCUGUCCCAAAACUUAAACUGUAGCUCCUCUUAACCACUAUCUGUCCCAAAACUCAAACUGUAGCUCCUCUUAACCACUAUCUGUCCCAAAACUCAAACUGUAGCUCCUCUUAACCACUAUCUGUCCCAAAACUCAAACUGUAGCUCUUCUUAAACACUAUCUGUCCCAAAACUCAAACUGUAGCUCCUCUUAAACACUAUCUGUCCCAAAACUCAAACUGUAACUAUCUGUCCCUUAACUAAAACUGUAGCUCCUCUUAAACACUAUCUGUCCCUUAACUAAAACUGUAGCUCCUCUUAAACACUAUCUGUCCCAAAACUAAAACUGUAGCUCCUCUUAACCACUAUCUGUCCCAAAACUCAAACUGUAACAUCUGUCCCUUAACUAAAACUGUAGCUCCUCUUAACCACUAUCUGUCCCAAAACUCAAACUGUAAUCAUCUGUCCCUUAACUAAAACUGUAGCUCCUCUUAACCACUGUCUGUCCCAAAACUAAAACUGUAGCUCCUUUUAACCACUAUCUGUCCCAAAACUGUAACUAUCUGUCCCAAACUAAAACUGUAGCUCCUCUUAAACACUAUCUGUCCCAAAACUAAAACUGUAGUUCCUCUUAACCACUAUCUGUCCCAAAACUCAAACUGUAACAAUCUGUCCCAAACUUAAAACUGGUGGUUCGACUUGGGAGUAGUUUCUGUUUGGACUAUCUGAAUGGUUGGCAAUGUUUUGAUUUUCGAGAUUGGAGGGUCAGGAAGAGCCAAAAAGUUAAUCUCAGCAACCAAAAACAUUUGCGACACACUCUUGGCUGUCUGUGUUGAGGUGCAGUACACAGAUUGGACCGCUAGAUGGGGGUGUUGUAUCGGCGGUAGUGAGUGGUUUACCCCUCUGAGAUUCUCUGCUAUUGGCUAGGCAAAGGCUACAGCUAAUAACGUUUACAGAAGAAACUUGUGGGCAGCGCUAGCUCCGAGCUAGUGUAGCAUGAUGCUAACGCUACAUGAUAUAAUAGCUAAAAUGCUAAUCCCCUAAUCUGCAGCUGGGGGAUGGAUGGAUGGAUGGACGAACAGAGAGCGUUAAUGAAAGAGGGAUGAUGUGGAAAUGACAUCACAGACAGAGCAAGCUGUCAUUGGUCAGGAUGAGUUAUUGACCUCUGACCCCUGUAGUCGUCCAAUUGACAUCCUGCGCUGGUGUGGGGGCAGGGUCAGCCCAUAUGUGGACUAUAAUCAACUCUGUGUGAUGCACUGCACUGCUCCGGACGUGGCUUUCUAGGAACCACACAAAACACACAGACAAGUACAGUACAUUCUCAGACUCUGUCUCACUCUGUGUGUGUGUCUCUCUCUCUGUGUGUGUCUCUCUCUCUGUGUGUGUCUCUCUCUCUCUCUGUGUGUAUCUCUCUCUCUCUGUGUGUCUCUCUCUCCGUGUGUCUCUCUCUCUCCGUGUGUCUCUCUCGCUGUGUCUCUCUCUCUCUCUGUGUCUCUCUCUCUCUCCGUGUGUCUCUCUCUCUGUGUCUCUCUCUCUCUCUGUGUGUGUGUCUCUCUCUCUCUUUCUCUGUCUCUCUCUCUCUCUCUCUGUGUGUUGCUGUCUGUCUGUCUCUCUCUCUCUCUCUCUCUCUGUCUCUCUCUCUCUCUCUCUCUCUCUCUCUCUGUGUCUCUGUGUCUCUCUCUGUGUCUCUCUCUCUGUGUCUCUCUCUCUGUGUCUCUCUCUCUCUGUCUCUCUCUCUCUCUCUCUGUGUGUCUCUCUCUCUCUCUCUCUCUGUUGGUUUAGGGCCAGUCUAGUUCCCUGUAGUAUUGGUUAAGGCUAUGUCUCAAAUGGCAGCCUAUUCCCUUUAUAGUGCACUACAUUUGACCAGAUCCCUAUGUGCCCUGGAUAAAAGUAGUGCACUAUGUAGGGUUCUACUUGGGAUGCUGAUUAAGUCAAUAAGUACCUAAAAAUAAUCCUCCUCCCCCCUCCUGUUCAGUUGCCAUUAGAGAGAUGGAUUAGGAGACCAUAUACAGAUUCUAUAUUAUUAUUAUUUAUUUUUUUAAAUCGUGUGUGUGUGUGUGUGUGUGUGUGUGUGUGUGUGUUAAUCCCCGGGGUUGACGGCUGCUUUUUGGUCUCUAAGCUGUUCUCAUCUCUACUAUCUCUGCUACAGUGAAGCUCACAGCCAACGAGAGAGAGGCAGAGAGUGUUUUCCCCUCUUCUCUUUCCCUCUCUGUCCUUUCCUCUAAUCCCCCCCCUCCCCAGUCUCUCUCCCUCCUCUCUAUUUUUCUCUCGGUGACAGGUCUCUCCCUCCUCUCUAUUUUUCUCUCGGUGACAGGUCUCUCCCUCCUCUCUAUUUUUCUCUAGGUGACAGGUCUCUCCCUCCUCUCUAUUUUUCUCUAGGUGCCAGGUCUCUCUCUCCUUUUCUCUCGGUGCCAGGUCUCUCCCUCCUCUCUUUUUCUCUAGGUGCCAGGUCUCUCCCUCCUCUCUCUUUUUCUCUCGGUGACAGGUCUCUCCCUCCUCUCUCUUUUUCUCUAGGUGACAGGUCUCUCCCUCCUCUCUCUUUUUAUCUUGGUGACAGGUCUCUCCCUCCUCUCUCUUUUUAUCUUGGUGACAGGUCUCUCUCUCCUCUCUUGCACUAUAUAGAGAAUAGGGCUCUGGUCUAAAGUAGUGCACUAUAUAGAGAAUAGGGCUCUGGUCUAAAGUAGUGCACUAUAUAGAGAAUAGGGCUCUGGUCUAAAGUAGUGCACUAUAUAGAGAAUAGGGCUCUGGUCUAAAGUAGUGCACUAUAUAGAGAAUAGGGCUCUGGUCUAAAGUAGUGCCACUAUAUAGAGAAUAGGGCUCUGGUCUAAAGUAGUGCACUAUAUAGAGAAUAGGGCUCUGGUCUAAAGUAGUGCACUAUAUAGAGAAUAGGGCUCUGGUCUAAAGUAGUGCACUAUAUAGAGAAUAGGGCUCUGGUCUAAAGUAGUGCACUAUAUAGAGAAUAGGGCUCUGGUCUAAAGUAGUGCACUAUAUAGGGAAUAGGGCUCUGGUCUAAAGUAGUGCACUAUAUAGAGAAUAGGGCUCUGGUCUAAAGUAGUGCACUAUAUAGGGAAUAGGGCUCUGGUCUAAAGUAGUGCACUAUAUAGGGAAUAGGGCUCUGGUCUAAAGUAGUGCACUAUAUAGGGAAUAGGGCUCUGGUCUAAAGUAGUGCACUAU
ensembl:lncRNA